GAUGAACGCUGGCGGCGUGCCUAAUACAUGCAAGUCGAGCGAACAGACGAGGAGCUUGCUCCUCUGACGUUAGCGGCGGACGGGUGAGUAACACGUGGAUAACCUACCUAUAAGACUGGGAUAACUUCGGGAAGCCGGAGCUAAUACCGGAUAAUAUAUUGAACCGCAUGGUUCAAUAGAGAAAGACGGUUUUGCUGGCCCUUAUAGAUGGAUCCGCGCCGCAUUAGCUAGUUGGUAAGGUAACGGCUUACCAAGGCAACGAUGCGUAGCCGACCUGAGAGGGUGAUCGGCCACACUGGAACUGAGACACGGUCCAGACUCCUACGGGAGGCAGCAGUAGGGAAUCUUCCGCAAAGGGCGAAAGCCUGACGGAGCAACGCCGCGUGAGUGAUGAAGGUCUUCGGAUCGUAAAACUCUGUUAUUAGGGACGAACAAAUGUGUAAGUAACUAUGCACGUCUUGACGGUACCUAAUCAGAAAGCCACGGCUAACUACGUG
rnacentral:rRNA from 1 species